rnacentral:rRNA from 1 species
AGAGUUUGAUCAUGGCNCNNAAUGANCGCUGGCGGCNUGCUNAACACNUGCAAGUCGUACGAGAACUCCUUAGCUUGCUAAGGAAAGUAAAGUGGCGUACGGGUGAGUAAUGCGNGGNNNAUUUACCCCAUNAUUUGGGAUAACAUUGCNAAAGCGAUGCUAAUACCNAAUAAUAUCUGAUANCUACGGCUAUUCNGAUCAAAGGUGGCCUCUAUAUAUAAGCUACUGUUUUGGGAUGAGCCCACGUACCAUUAGCUUGUUGGUAGGGUAAUGGCCUACCANGGCUACGAUGGUUAGCUGGUCUGAGAGGANGAUCNNCCNCNCUNNANCUGACACACGGUCCANACUCCUACGGGAGGCAGCAGUGGGGAAUUUUGCGCAAUGGGGGAAACCCUGACGCANCAACGCCGCGUGAGUGAUGAAGGCUCUUGGGUCGUANAGCUCUGUUAAGUGGGAAGAACCAAAAAAUGUAAAUAUCAUUUUUUCUGACGGUACCACUANAGGAAGCACCGGCUAACUCCGUGCCANCAGCCGCGGUAAUACGGGGGGUGCAAGCGUUNUUCGGAAUUAUUGGGCGUAAAGGGNGCGUAGGCGGCCGCUUAAGUCAGAUGUGNNAGCCCGGGGCUUANCCCCGGAAGUGCAUUUGANACUAAGUGNCUUGAGUAUGGGAGAGGGAAGUGNAAUUCCUGGUGUAGAGGUGAAAUUCGUANAUAUCAGGAGGAACACCAGUNGCGAAGGCGACUUCCUGGACCAAUACUGACGCUGAGGCGCGAAGGCGUGGGGAGCAAACAGGAUUASAUACCCUGGUAGUCCACGCAGUAAACGAUGAUCACUACGUGUAGCGNGUAUUGACCCCUGCUGUGCCGCAGUUAACGCAUUAAGUGAUCCGCCUGGGGAGUACGGUCGCAAGAUUAAAACUCAAAGGAAUUGNCGGGGGCCCGCACAAGCGGUGGAGCAUGUGGUUUAAUUNGACGCAACGCGAAGAACCUUACCUGGAUUUGACAUCUCGGGAAUUUUUUCGAAAGAUUAAAGUGCCCUUNGGGGAACCCGAUGACAGGUGCUGCAUGGCUGUCGUCAGCUCGUGUCGUGAGAUGUUGGGUUAAGUCCCGCAACGNGCGCAACCCCUAUCUUUAGUUACCAUCNAUUCAGUUGGGGANUCUAGAGAUACUGCCCCGGUUAACGGGGAGGAAGGUGGGGAUGACGUCAAGUCCUCAUGGCCUUUAUAUCCAGGGNUACACACGUGNUACAAUGGACUGUACAAAGGGUCGCGANCUCNCGANAGUCAGCUAACCCCAUAAAGCAGUUCUAAGUUCGGAUUGGAGUCUGCAACUCGACUCCAUGAAGCUGGAAUCGNUAGUAAUCGUGGAUCAGCAUGCCACGGNGAAUACGUUCCCGGGCCUUGUACNCACCGCCCGUCACACCAUGAGAGUUGAUUGUNCCAGAAGUNGUUGGANUAACCCGUAAGGGGGGUAGGCACCUAAGGUAUGAUUGAUAANUAGGGUGAAGUCGUNACAAAGGUA